AUACGUAGGGGGCGAGCGUUGUCCGGAAUGAUUGGGCGUAAAGGGCGCGUAGGCGGCCCGGUAAGUCUGGAGUGAAAGUCCUGUUUUUAAGAUGGGAAUUGCUUUGGAUACUGUCGGGCUUGAGUGCAGGUGAGGUAAGUGGAAUUCCCAGUGUAGCGGUGAAAUGCGUAGAGAUUGGGAGGAACACCAGUGGCGAAGGCGACUUACUGGACUGUAACUGACGCUGAGGCGCGAAAGUGUGGGGAGCAAACAGGAUUAGAUACCCUGGUAGUCCACACUGUAAACGAUGAAUGCUAGGUGUAGGGGGUAUCGACCCCUUCUGUGCCGCAGUCAACACAAUAAGCAUUCCGCCUGGGGAGUACGGCCGCAAGGUUGAAACUCAAAGGAAUUGACGGGG
rnacentral:rRNA from 1 species